GUUAUUUUGGCAGAAUAGUGCAUUAAAUUUAGAAUUUAAAUAUAUAGUUUUAUAGCUAUAAAUAAUA
rnacentral:tRNA from 1 species